rnacentral:rRNA from 1 species
AUACUCCGAGAACUGAAAGGCUUUUUGAAGUCUUCGGAUGGAUAGAAGAACCCCUGAUGCCGUCGAGCCAAGAAAAGUUUCUAAGUUUAGCUAAUGUUGCCCGUACCGUAAACCGACACAGGUGGGUGGGAUGAGUAUUCUAAGGCGCGUGGAAGAACUCUCUUUAAGGAACUCUGCAAAAUAGCACCGUAUCUUCGGUAUAAGGUGUGGUUAGCCUUGUAUUAGGAUUUACUCCGAAAGCAAGGAAACUUACAACAAAGAGUCCCUCCCGACUGUUUACCAAAAACACAGCACUCUGCUAACUCGUAAGAGGAUGUAUAGGGUGUGACGCCUGCCCGGUGCUCGAAGGUUAAUUGAUGGGGUUAGCAUUAGCGAAGCUCUUGAUCGAAGCCCGAGUAAACGGCGGCCGUAACUAUAACGGUCCUAAGGUAGCGAAAUUCCUUGUCGGUUAAAUACCGACCUGCAUGAAUGGCGUAACGAGAUGGGAGCUGUCUCAAAGAGGGAUCCAGUGAAAUUGUAGUGGAGGUGAAAAUUCCUCCUACCCGCGGCAAGACGGAAAGACCCCGUGGACCUUUACUACAGCUUGACACUGCUACUUGGAUAAGAAUGUGCAGGAUAGGUGGGAGGCUUUGAGUAUAUGACGCCAGUUGUAUAUGAGCCAUUGUUGAGAUACCACUCUUUCUUAUUUGGGUAGCUAACCAGCUUGAGUUAUCCUCAAGUGGGACAAUGUCUGGUGGGUAGUUUGACUGGGGCGGUCGCCUCCCAAAUAAUAACGGAGGCUUACAAAGGUUGGCUCAGAACGGUUGGAAAUCGUUCGUAGAGUAUAAAGGUAUAAGCCAGCUUAACUGCAAGACAUACAAGUCAAGCAGAGACGAAAGUCGGUCUUAGUGAUCCGGUGGUUCUGUGUGGAAGGGCCAUCGCUCAAAGGAUAAAAGGUACCCCGGGGAUAACAGGCUGAUCUCCCCCAAGAGCUCAUAUCGACGGGGAGGUUUGGCACCUCGAUGUCGGCUCAUCGCAUCCUGGGGCUGGAGCAGGUCCCAAGGGUAUGGCUGUUCGCCAUUUAAAGCGGUACGCGAGCUGGGUUCAGAACGUCGUGAGACAGUUCGGUCCCUAUCUGCCGUGGGCGUAAGAAGAUUGAAGAGAUUUGACCCUAGUACGAGAGGACCGGGUUGAACAAACCACUGGUGUAGCUGUUGUUCUGCCAAGAGCAUCGCAGCGUAGCUAAGUUUGGAAAGGAUAAACGCUGAAAGCAUCUAAGCGUGAAGCCAACUCUAAGAUGAAUCUUCUCUAAGCUCUCUAGAAGACUACUAGUUUGAUAGGCUGGGUGUGUAAUGGAUGAAAGUCCUUUAGCUGACCAGUACUAAUAGAGCGUUUGGCUUAUCUUUAAUAAAGCAU